rfam:Trichosporon oleaginosus strain IBC0246 unplaced genomic scaffold CC85scaffold_35, whole genome shotgun sequence.
ACAUCAGUGGUGAAACGGUAUCAUGCGUGCUUGCCAUGCACGCGGCGGGGGUUCGACUCCCUCCUGAUGUA